GCCCCGGUAGCUCAGUCUGGUAGAGCACCGGCUUGGUAAGCCGGUGGUCCCGGGUUCAAAGCCCGGCCGGGGCU
rnacentral:tRNA from 3 species